UUCCACUUUUUUCAGUGUCCAUGGCCACAAUCAAAUGCGCUUUGAAACCAUAGCUAUUCACUCGAUUUCUCCAAGCUUUUGAAUUCUAACACCCCGAACCCCCUCUUCUCUCUCUCUCUCUCUCUCCAUAUUUUCACCUUGCUGCUUCCGCAAUAUAGGUGCAGCAAACCUGGAAUUCAUAGGAACUUCUGCAAGUGUGAGAUCAAGUGUACCAAAUUCAUUGAGUGCAUGGUCCAAGGAAGUAUAGAAACACAGCAUGUUGAGGCCCUUUUCAGGGCCCUUGUGGUGUUAGCAAGAAAAAAUUGAGGGUCCACGAGAUAUGCCUUAAAAGUGGCCCAAACCUUGAUUCUGCAGUAGUAUAAGGCAGAUAGGGGGUGCAAUGAGAGGUGCAGGUGCUGAGCAACUUUCAGUGCUAGUAAGAUCUGUGGUUGCAAAACAAGAAAGAAUGUGCUUCGCUUUUUUUAUGCACUCGGAUACAAGUUGGACCAUGAGCUGCUAAGGGCUCCUGCAUUUGUCAAAACCGGGUAUUUCAACUGGGGUUGUUCCUACUGCUGCUGCGGCUGCUGCAUCUCUUUUAUCAGAUGGUGGGGGUACGACCUUAUAAGUAGAGGUGAGUAGCAUCCCAGAUCGAGUUCCAAUAAUUCCUACAAUGAAGGAUGUAAAACACGUUGGGUGAUGCUAGGGAGACCAAAUUUUUUAUACUAAAUUUGCAAACCAAAUGAUGUGGUUAUAGAUGUUGAAUUUUUAAUUAAGUGUGGAUUAACAUGCUUGUUUCUUAUUGGUGAUACAUUAUUUGAUUUAAAGUUUUGGUCUCUGUAGUAGAUUUACACAGACCAUACACUGAUCAGAGCAAUGAAUAAGUGCCGUGUACUAUUAACAAAUAGAAUUUUCU